rnacentral:rRNA from 1 species
GAGUUUGAUCGUGGCUCAGGAUGAACGCUAGCGGCAGGCUUAAUACAUGCAAGUCGAGGGGCAGCAUAGUGUAGCAAUACAUGGGUGGCGACCGGCAAACGGGUGCGGAACACGUACAGAACCUUCCUUCGAGCGGGGAAUAGCCCAGAGAAAUUUGGAUUAAUACCCCAUAGGAUAGUGGAGUGGCAUCACUCAGCUAUUAAAGAUUUAUCACUUGAAGAUGGCUGUGCGUCUGAUUAGGUAGUUGGCGGGGUAACGGCCCACCAAGCCAGCGAUCAGUAACUGGUGUGAGAGCACGACCAGUCACACGGGCACUGAGACACGGGCCCGACUCCUACGGGAGGCAGCAGUAAGGAAUAUUGGUCAAUGGACGCAAGUCUGAACCAGCCAUGCCGCGUGGAGGAUGAAGGUCCUCUGGAUUGUAAACUUCUUUUAUCUGGGACGAAAAA